rnacentral:rRNA from 1 species
CGCCGCCGCGGGAAUACGUAGGUGGCAAGCGUUGUCCGGAAUUAUUGGGCGUAAAGGGCUCGCAGGCGGUUUCUUAAGUCUGAUGUGAAAGCCCCCGGCUCAACCGGGGAGGGUCAUUGGAAACUGGGAAACUUGAGUGCAGAAGAGGAGAGUGGAAUUCCACGUGUAGCGGUGAAAUGCGUAGAGAUGUGGAGGAACAUCAGUGGCGAAGGCGACUCUCUGGUCUGUAACUGACGCUGAGGAGCGAAAGCGUGGGGAGCGAACAGGAUUAGAUACCCGCGUAGUCCCUGUCUCUUAUACA